GCUCGUGGACGAGCGGCGGACGGGUGAGUAACACGUUGGGCAACCUACCUGUGAGACGGGGAUAACUCCGGGAAACCGGGGCUAAUACCGGAUAACGCAUNGAACCGCAUGGUUCGAUGAUCAAAGAUGGCUUCUAGCUAUCACUCACAGAUGGGCCCGCGGCGCAUUAGUUAGUUGGUGAGGUAACGGCUCACCAAGGCGACGAUGCGUAGCCGACCUGAGAGGGUGAUCGGCCACACUGGGACUGAGACACGGCCCAGACUCCUACGGGAGGCAGCAGUAGGGAAUCAUCCGCAAUGGACGCAAGUCUGACGGUGCAACGCCGCGUGAGCGAUGAAGGUCUUCGGAUCGUAAAGCUCUGUUGUGAGGGAAGAACAAGUGCCGUUCGAAUAGGGCGGCACCUUGACGGUACCUCACCAGAAAGCCCCGGCUAACUACGUGCCAGCAGCCGCGGUAAUACGUAGGGGGCAAGCGUUGUCCGGAAUUAUUGGGCGUAAAGCGCGCGCAGGCGGUUCCUUAAGUCUGAUGUGAAAGGCCACAGCUCAACUGUGGAGGGCCAUUGGAAACUGGGGAACUUGAGGACAGAAGAGGAGAGCGGAAUUCCACGUGUAGCGGUGAAAUGCGUAGAUAUGUGGAGGAACACCAGUGGCGAAGGCGGCUCUCUGGUCUGUAACUGACGCUGAGGCGCGAAAGCAUGGGUAGCGAACAGGAUUAGAUACCCUGGUAGUCCAUGCCGUAAACGUUGAGUGCUAGGUGUUAGGGGGUCCAACCCUUAGUGCUGCAGUUAACGCAAUAAGCACUCCGCCUGGGGAGUACGGCCGCAAGGCUGAAACUCAAAGGAAUUGACGGGGGCCUGCACAAGCGGUGGAGCAUGUGGUUUAAUUCGACGCACGCGAAGAACCUUACCAGGUCUUGACAUCUUCGGACAGCCCAAGAGAUUGGGUCUUCCCUUCGGGGACCGAAUGACAGGUGGUGCAUGGUUGUCGUCAGCUCGUGUCGUGAGAUGUUGGGUUAAGUCCCGUAACGAGCGCAACCCCUGAUCUUAGUUGCCAGCAUUGAGUUGGGCACUCUAGGAUGACUGCCGGUGACAAACCGGAGGAAGGCGGGGAUGACGUCAAAUCAUCAUGCCCCUUAUGACCUGGGCUACACACGUGCUACAAUGGAUGGUACAAAGGGAAGCCAAACCGCGAGGUCGAGCUAAUCCCAUAAAGCCAUUCUCAGUUCGGAUUGUAGGCUGCAACUCGCCUGCAUGAAGCCGGAAUCGCUAG
rnacentral:rRNA from 1 species